UACAGAGGUGGCAAGCGUUGUUCGGAAUUACUGGGCGUAAAGGGCGCGUAGGCGGCUCGACAAGUCCCGCGUGAAAGCCCCCGGCUCAACUGGGGAACUGCGCGGGAAACUGUCGGACUUGAGUUCGGGAGAGGGAAGCGGAAUUCCGGGUGUAGCGGUGAAAUGCGUAGAGAUGUGGAGGAACACCGAUGGCGAAGGCAGCCCCCUGGGUCAAGAUUGACGCUCAUGCACGAAAGCGUGGGGAGCAAACAGG
rnacentral:rRNA from 1 species